CCUACGGGAGGCAGCAGUGGGGAAUAUUGGGCAAUGGGCGCAAGCCUGACCCAGCAACGCCGCGUGAAGGAAGAAGGCUUUCGGGUUGUAAACUUCUUUUCUCAGGGACGAAGAAAGUGACGGUACCUGAGGAAUAAGCGACGGCUAACUACGUGCCAGCAGCCGCGGUAAUACGGAGGGGGCAAGCGUUAUCCGGAUUUGAUGGGUGUAAAGGGCGUGUAGGCGGGGAGGCAAGUCAGAUGGGAAAACCAUGGGCUCAACCUGUGGCCUGCAUUUGAAACUGUUUUUCUUGAGUACUGGAGAGGCAGACGGAAUUCCUGGUGUAGCGGUGAAAUGCGGAGAUAUUAGGAGGAACACCAGUGGCGAAGGCGGUCUGCUGGACAGCAACUGACGCUGAGGCGCGAAAGCGUGGGGAGCAAACAGGAUUAGAUACCCCGGUAGUA
rnacentral:rRNA from 1 species